UUUUUUUUUUGAGACAGUGUCUUGCUCUGUCACUAGGCUGGAGUGCAGUGACAUAAUCAUAGCUCACUGCAACCUCCAACUUGAGGGGCUCGAGAUCCUCCCACCUCAACCUCCCAAGUAGUUAGGACUAUAGGCAUGCAACACUGUACCUGGCUAAUUUUUAAAUUUUUUUGCAGAGAGAGGGUCUCACUAUAAUGCCCAGGCUGGUCUCAAACUCCUGGCCUGAAACAAUCCUCCUGCCUUAGCCUCCCAAAGUGCUGGAAUUACAAGCAUGAGCCACCAUGCCUGAUUUAUUCAUACAACUUCUUGGAUCCUCAUUUUUAUCAUUUCUAAAACAAAGAUAACAUCUCUCUUACAAGAUUACAAGAUUGGGAGAACUGCUUAAGAUGAAUAAGAAAAACUGAAGAACACUUAGCACAGAGUGGAUUCUCACCAUAUAUCAAGCCUAUAUUGCAUGCUGCCUGAAUACAUGGGUUUAUGCUAUGGAAGUCCUGAUGGCAAACCCUCAUAUCAAAGGCUUCCCUCCUUGCUUCUCCCUACAUCCAGUAGGGAGAGCAGCUGUAUCCCUGGCUACCUUUGAGAGGCCUCCACUGCCUCUAGGGUGGUACUGGGUGCUCCAUUACACCUUUAUCCCUGAGGCUCAUUCCAAGGACAAGGGCUGAAAGCUAGAGGCUCAUUUCCAAGGACAAGGGCUGAAAGCUAGGAAACCGACUCAUCUUCAUUCUCAAUGCCUUUCUCAAGGUGGAGCAUUUUCUGCUGGGCCAACACUCACAAUUUUUUUUUUUUUUUUUAGACACAGUCUUGCUGUGUCAGCCAGGAUGGAGUGCAUCAUUCAAUAAACAUCAGUGGUCCCUUCCCCUUGGCAACUCCUCUUCUUAAAAAGGACAAGACACAGGGGUUGGGGAUGGAGAGCUCUGCGGAUGGUGGUGGGGAAAUGAAAGGAAGACUCCAGUGAUUCCUCAAAUGCCAGCUGUUUAUCAAGUUUGAUGGUUAUGAUGGAUUUUCCAGAAAUAAAAGCUACCUUGCUCCAAUAGGUCUACCUGUGAGCAACUGAGAUGGGGAGGAAUGGGGAGGAGCGCUGAGCAUAGUCUCAUGAAGGGUAUGAUUCAGGUCUCGAUAGACAAUGUUCUUUGGAGCAGCACCAACGUUGUGUACUGGGCAGGCACUCUGCCAGCUCCCCAGCCUGUUCUGUCCAAUCCUGGCGUCUUGGAGCUGGGGUGGAAGAAUUUUCCCUGAAGGAAAGCAGCCAACACCCUGUCCCACCCUUCUCCGUGGGCAACUCUUUGCCAGGCAGGAAUCUCUCAUCAGGGUUUUCUUUUGGCUGUCAGAUCACCAGCAGUUACGGGCUUAAGCCCCUGUCACCAUGCCUCUCCCAGAACCUGCAGAGAGCAGCAGCUGGGACUCUGCAGGACCACCUUCCUUUUUCCAGCUAGGAAUGCAUUUGGAAAACCCCAAAACUUCUCCUCUCAGCCAGAGUCCAGAAAAGUCAGCUCCUUGUCUUGGCACAUUCAGUGCAGAGUCAAACGUGGAAAGGGUCCUAGAUGGGGCGGGGUCGACUUCCAGGUCCCACAUUUGCAGGGGAAGCUAAUCCCCCUGGAUUAGGCUGGGAGGUGCUUGGGGCUGGUUGCCAGAUAAAGGACGGGGGGCUCGUUUUUUCUUUUUUUGAGACAGAGUUUUGCUCUUUUUGCCCAGGCUGGAGUGCAAUGGCGCCAUCUCGGCUCACUGCAACCUCCGCCUCCCAGGUUCAAGCAAUUUUCCUGACUCAGCCUCCCAAGUAGCUGGGAUUACAGCCGCCCGCCACCACGCCCGGCUAAUUUUUGUAUUUUCAGUAGAGACGGGGUUCCAACACGUUGGCUAGGCUGGUCUAGAACUCCUGACCUCAGGUGAUCCACUCGCCUUGGCCUCCAAAAGCGCUGGGAUGACGGGCGUGAGCCACUGCGCCUGGCCCGGGACGUCGUUUUCAACUUCAGAUUAAUAAUUUUUUAGUAUAUGUCCCAACAAUUGCACAAGAUAUGAGUAUAGUCAUAAAAAAAAUUUGCUGUUUAUAUGAAAUUCAAUUUUAACUGGCCGUCUUUUUCUUUGCUAAGUCUGGAACCCAGGGUUUGGCCUGGGGUAGCCCCCGCAGCAGGCAGGGCUGUUGGAGGGGUCACGAACCCGCUUGGAAGCCCCACGCCAUCACCGUCGCCCCUCCCGGCCGAGGGAAGGGUCCUGGAAAGCGCGAAGGGCGGCCAAAGCCCGGAUAAGGCCUAAGGGGCCGCAUUUCGCCGCUACCGUGGGAAACUGUCUUCGAGAGGAGGGAGCAGUCGUGGCCUGGCCUCAUUCCCGCUUGCCUCCAGCCUCUGCCGCCUCUCGUGGGCUCUUCCCCGCCCAGAACCGCCCACCUGCGGGCCCACUAGCACCAGCUGCGCUCACAGGCUCUAGCCGGCUCGCGGCGGCGGCUCC
rnacentral:lncRNA from 1 species